CAGUAGCCGCGGUAAUACGAAGGGGGCUAGCGUUGUUCGGAAUUACUGGGCGUAAAGCGCGCGUAGGCGGUUACUCAAGUCAGAGGUGAAAGCCCGGGGCUCAACCCCGGAACUGCCUUUGAAACUAGGUGACUAGAAUCUUGGAGAGGUCAGUGGAAUUCCGAGUGUAGAGGUGAAAUUCGUAGAUAUUCGGAAGAACACCAGUGGCGAAGGCGACUGACUGGACAAGUAUUGACGCUGAGGUGCGAAAGCGUGGGGAGCAAACAGGAUUAGAUACCCCCGUAGUCCCUGUCUCUUAUAC
rnacentral:rRNA from 1 species